rnacentral:misc_RNA from 1 species
GUUAGGCCAUCCUCCAGAAAGCAAGUCUUCAUAGUCCCAUAAACAGAGAUAAUGCAAUACCCCUUCGCUGAACGGGAUAUUCCACAGAGAAACCAUUACGUGUGAGAUCAUCCAGCGUCUGUCUUAGAUUAGAGUAUGUGGAGAGAAAGACAAGAAACGCCGGCGAAGUGGUGGACGGAGGAAAAGGGACAGUGAACGCCAACGGGGAACUGAAACGACGACGUUUUUUUGCCGUAAC